rnacentral:lncRNA from 1 species
AUGUGGAUCUUGGUGUCUACUCUGCAUUUCUAUCAGGUAGGCAUCACGCAGAGGAGACUGGACAGUGCCAUAGUGCUUCAUGGGAUACAAUCCAUGGGAAGGCCUGAGUCCCUGAUCAGAUUUCCCACACAGCCCGGACGCUUACAUGGAACUUUCCCCCAACCUGGAAGCAACUGCAAGGAAAUGGUGACCAAAUCAAAUAGAAGACUUGAGAAUAUGCAGAGGGCUGACAUGUGAGCUUCAUCUUCAUCUGUCUUUUGAAGUUCCUUCUCUGGGGUUGGAAUGAAGAGGUCAGACCCAAAAUGUAAACUUUCUUCAUGGAAGGCAACAGUGGAGAUGUGGCAUGAGUGAAAGAGACAACGUGAACCGGGGCUCAGGGGAAGGUAUGACUCCCCCAGAUAGGGAGAAUGCAUUAGACUUUGGGGUGUAUUGACAUUUAACCUCACCAGGGAGGACCUGAGUGCUGUGCACACAUGGAACUGUUGAGUAAAGCCAGUCUGUCCAGGAUAAGAACCCAAGUAUGGCCAGGCACGGUGUUUACUCCUGUCUUCCCAGCACUUUGGGAGGCCAAGGUGGUCAUAUCAUUUGAGGUCAGGAGCUUGAGACCAGCCUGGUCAACGUGGUGAAACCCUGUUUCUACUAAAAAUACUAAAAUUAGCCAGGCAUAGUGGCAUGUGCCUGUAAUCCCAGCUACUUGGGAGGCUGAAGCGGGAGAAUCAUGUGAACCCUGGGAGGCAGAGGUUACAGUGAGCCAAGAUCACAUCACUGCACUCCAGCCUGGGCAACUGAGCACGACUCUGUGUCAGAAAAAAAAAAAAAAUCACACCUAAGUACGUAUUUUUUAUGGCCUAAACAGUAAAACAAAUGUACUAACUUUACAUUAUGGGUUUUUUAAGGAUGCUUAUUUCACAGAGUCCUAAAUGACCACAAAGACAAAAUAGUUUUUAUAUGUAUAUUUUUAAUCGAAAAAAAAAUGUGUGCUUAGUGUCUUGAAAAGGAAAAACAUGAGCCACACACAGGAUGACUAAUAAUUUCACAACCUCAAAGCACUAAACUAGAAAUUAUCAUUUCUAGAUAUUUAUUAUGAUGAAUAUCACUGCCAAAUUGACAGUAGAUUUGCUAACCUAUCCAUAUUGAAUGGCAAGAAGCAAGCCAGAAAGGCAUGUUU